GGAAGAAGGNNUUCGGGUCGUAAACUACUGUCAAGAGGGAAGAAACUGUUGGACAUUAAUACGGUCCUUCACUGACGGUACCUCUAGAGGAAGCACCGGCUAACUCCGUGCCAGCAGCCGCGGUAAUACGGAGGGUGCGAGCGNUAAUCGGAAUCACUGGGCGUAAAGCGUGCGUAGGCGGCGUGUCAAGUCAGACGUGAAAGCCCUCGGCUCAACCGGGGAAUUGCGUUUGAAACUGANAUGCUAGAGUCUCGGAGAGGUUGGCGGAAUUCCAGGUGUAGGAGUGAAAUNCGUAGAUAUCUGGAGGAACACCGGUGGCGAAGGCNGCCAACUGGACGNGUACUGACGCUGAGGUACGAAAGCGUGGGUAGCAAACAGGAUUAGAUACCCUGGUAGUCCACGCUGUAAACGAUGGAU
rnacentral:rRNA from 1 species